rnacentral:rRNA from 1 species
AUUGAACGCUGGCGGCAGGCUUAACACAUGCAAGUCGAGCGGGGGGAGGUAGCUUGCUACCUAACCUAGCGGCGGACGGGUGAGUAAUGCUUAGGAAUCUGCCUAUUAGUGGGGGACAACAUUUCGAAAGGGAUGCUAAUACCGCAUACGCCCUAAGGGGGAAAGCAGGGGAUCUUCGGACCUUGCGCUAAUAGAUGAGCCUAAGUCGGAUUAGCUAGUUGGUGGGGUAAAGGCCUACCAAGGCGACGAGCUGUAGCGGGUCUGAGAGGAUGAUCCGCCACACUGGGACUGAGACACGGCCCAGACUCCUACGGGAGGCAGCAGUGGGGAAUAGUGGACAAUGGGGGGAACCCUGAUCCAGCCAUGCCGCGUGUGUGAAGAAGGCCUUUUGGUUGUAAAGCACUUUAAGCGAAGAGGAGGCUACCGAGAUUAAUACUCUUGGAUAGUGGACGUUACUCGCAGAAUAAGCACCGGCUAACUCUGUGCCAGCCGCCGCCGUAAUAC